rnacentral:rRNA from 1 species
ACGGAGGGUGCAAGCGUUAUCCGGAUUCACUGGGUUUAAAGGGUGCGUAGGAGGGCAGGUAAGUCAGUGGUGAAAUCUCCAAGCUUAUCUUGGAAACUGCCGUUGAUACUAUCUGUCUUGAAUACCGUGGAGAUGAGCGGAAUAUGUCAUGUAGCGGGGAAAUGCUUAGAUAUGACAUAGAACACCAAUUGCGAAGGCAGCUCGUUACACGAAGAUUGACUCU